GACAGAGGGUGCAAACGUUGUUCGGAAUUACUGGGCGUAAAGCGAGUGUAGGCGGUGUGGUAAGUCGGAUGUGAAAGCCCCGGGCUCAACCCGGGAAGUGCACUCGAUACUGCCACGCUAGAGUGUCGGAGAGGUUGGUGGAAUUCUCGGUGUAGAGGUGAAAUUCGUAGAUAUCGAGAGGAACACCGGUGGCGAAGGCGGCCAACUGGACGAAUACUGACGCUGAGACUCGAAAGCGUGGGGAGCAAACAGG
rnacentral:rRNA from 1 species